AUCCCCGAUCACCCUGUGUGGCCCUCCCUUCCCGCUGCGCUCGGGGAAAGUCCACCCCUCCCCCUCCGGCCGAAGCCGCAGAGCGGUCAGCCUCGGUGGCCGCAGUAAGCCGUGGGGGUGGGGCUAUGGAGGGGACCGUGGGAGGAGGAGGCUAAUGGGACCCGGGGGCUCUAGAGUGAGGAUGGGGAAGAUACACAAGCGUGAAGACGAAGUGCUGCUCCUGAGCUUAGGCUAUUCGAGGGUCCCCUGAUCACCUGCCCUCUGCACGGCGUAGUGCUGCGGCCACACGUAUUUGCCAGUGACUUACAUUAUACAGUCACCGGGUCCCUGCCCCGCGAGGCCGCGCAGUGUCACGGCCUGUGUCACACGCCCUCGCAGUGCCACACGCUCCCUAUCACACUCACACUCACCAAAUCACACACGGUGUCACACGCAGUGUCUCACACACUCCAAUACUCGGUUUCUCCCAUUCAGCUCUGGCUCUCUGGCGCCAUCUAGAGGUCUCUGAGUAGCUUGGGAACUCCCUCUCCUGCGCUUGCGGUUUGGUAACCCAGGCUACCAAGUGUCCCAGUUCAACAGGACCUCCUGCCUUCUUCGCCUGCAGGCCCAGGCAGAGUGUUCUAGGUCAAAAGAAUGAGGAAGGUUAUCCCUAGCCAGGCCUAGUGCUGGGUGAGGAAAGGCUCUUGUUAUGGGAUGACCAGUUGUUGGGCCUCUUUUUGCCAUAGCCUCUGACUCCCCAUCUCUGUCCUUCCCCAUUUUCCUAUUCCUAUCACUCUUCUGUGCCUUUCCUCUUUCUUCUACUUCCUUCUCUUCUCAGCUCUGGCCUCUCUCGGUGGGAUGCUCUUCAGGGUAAAAGUGGAAUCUCUGGUUAGCUAAGAGAGCAAGCAAAGUCUGUCCAAGAUCUCUCCCAGAGCAGCCCUGCUUAACUGGACUCCUUUUCUGACCUGGGCCCUGCUCUAUCCCUCAGCCCCAGGAGCCCAGGGGCGGGGCUCUAGAUGGGAGAUGGGGUUAUCUGGUGAAAGAGGGGGGUGGGUCUGUUCUGUAAGUAGCUUCUUUCUGUCUCUAGAAAGCUCAUACUCUCCACAUCAUUGAGCACAGCUCCGAGGAGGGAAUCAGUGGCCCAGAGAGAAGAAAUCUUCCACAGAAGAGCUGCCCCGGUCUCCCUGCCCCCAGCGUGUGCCCGCUGCCCAAUGCAGCAAACCCUCCCUGGUCUGCUUGCUGGGAGCCAUUCAAAGGCUCCUCUGUUCUCCUCCCUUGCUCAGGGCUGAGCAGGAUCAGCAGCCGCAGAGCUGGGCAGGAAAUGCUAAUCUCCCAGAUGUUCGCCUCCAUCCUCCCUGCUCCACCACCAUCAAACUCAAAUUCUGCACCAAGUGGUAGGAGCAGAACUGGGCCAGAGCAGCAGCACCAGGGUGUGCCUACUCUUCUCCCUGCUCCCCAGCCCCUCCUACCCCAGCUGCCAGGCUGGGCUCUGUGCCCCUGAGUCAGGGGCAAUGUAGAUAUGAGAAUUGGGGCCUUUUUUCCCCAGGAAAGAGGGCAGGUGAGCAAGCAGGGACUGGGAGGAUGGUUGGGGAGCAAGGGAGGUGGCAUUUGAAGAGGAGAGAAGUCAGACUUUUGGCCCUGUACCAAAGUGGGAGGAGGACCUGCUUGGCAAGUGAAGCAUUGGGGGAGGCUCCUGAAACUGAUGGUGCCUGAGUUCCAGCUGAGACUGUGGCCAGGGAUUGGAACCAGGGUGAUGCUGGGUAUGGGAACGGUUGGGGUGCUUGCUGUGAUAUCCGUGUACCUGGGAUGGGCUGUGGCUAAGUGAACUAGGAUGCUGUAGGGCCUGGAACUGUAACACCAAGGCUGCUGCCUCUGAUUGUACUUAGGACACUGUUGCAGUGCUCUGAUGCUGGUGUGCCUAGGCUAUAGCCAAUAAGAUUACCUGAGAAACUAUCGCCAAGCUGUGUGUAUAUGGGUGUGUGUGUGCAUGUUGAGGGAGGGCUGUAACUGAUAAGCUGUUGGGCCUGAAGCUAUAGAUAUGAGGCUGGCACACCUGAGACUGGCUGUAGCUGAGAAGCUGUUCCCUGUUAAUAUGAUGUAGAUGGGACUGUAACUGGAUCCAUUGACUAGGUCCUAGGAGAUGAGAGGCUGUUGAGAGGAGCCUGUACCUGGAAGACAGGCUGUUACCUGGGAUAGGAGCAGAGCUACUGUUGUGUAUGGGACUGUAGCUGAGCCGCUAUUGGUCCUGGAGCUGUAGCUGUGAUGACAGCAUACUGGGGAUUGGCUAUAGCUAAGAUGCUGUUGCUCAGGAUUGUGGCUGGGCUGUUACUGUGUGCUGGACUCUAGCUGGGAUGCCUGCAGCUAUAACUUUAAAGCUUGGGUGUAGCUAGGAGGCCAUUUCCUGGUAAUUUUGCUGGACCAUUGUUGUGUGGGGGCUGUGGCUGAGACUCUAUUGUUUAGGAGAUGACAAGCUGUUCUGGGAGGCAGGAUACUACCUGAGAUGGAAGCUGAUGUACUGUUGGAGCUGAUCUACUGUUGUGCCUAGGGUGGUCCCCAAGUGGCUGUUGCUGGGUCAGUGACGAGCUGGGUGGGGAAGCCAAGUGAGUCCUGCCUUGAGGUCUGGGAGAUGCCAGGAGCCCUAGGCUGGGUGGGGGCUGCUGCUCUGGGGAGGCCUCAGCAGCUGCUCUGCUGUGGAGCUGGAAAGCCUGUUUUCAUUACUGUUUUAACUCUUUUUUUAACCUUGUUUUUCUCUCGGCUGCACUUUCGCUCACUCAUUAAUUUUGGUAUUUUUCUCACGGUGCCUCAGCCCCUGUCACGGCUGCCAUGGCAACAGGAGGCAGUGUGCUCAGUGCCAAAAUAUCUGAUCAAAAAAUAACCAAAAUAAGCAAACACCAAGACGACUGUUCUGGGAACUAUGGUUGAGGGAGAGCCGAUGGCUCAGAUCCAGGAAACCCUAGGCUCCAGGGUACCUGUUUCACUACCCCUCUCCCCCAGGGAAGCUUUGCUGAACAUUCUGAUAACCUAGAGGGCCCCUUUCCAAGGAAUCCCCCACAGCACAAUCUCCUAGGACUCUGAGAUUUCCAAUAGUUCCUGUCCAAGGGGCAGCUUUGCCUGAGGUGGGAGCAUCGGGAGAGGGUGAGGGCUGGGGAUCACUUCCCAGGAGCUGGCAGAUGAAGCUUCUAAGAAGCUCCCUCCCUGCCCUAGCCACAAGCAUCCGCACUCACUCAUUCACCCACCCCUCUUCUGGCCCUUCUUGCCUUAGGCUUAUCUCCCUUUCUCUGCACCCAACCCCCACUAGGCCACUUUUGUUUUCUCACAGCCCAACAUUCUGAUGGGAUGAACAGAGGGGAGGAAGCUGACAGUCUCCAGCCCCCUACCAACUCCUCAGUGGAGGUGCCAGAGAGGGGUACCAUAAAAGUAGCUGACAUUCCGAGGCCUCUGCCCACCUCUAGCUCACCUUCCUAGGGGAGAUUCCUGAACAUCCCUGACCACUCACACUGCACUCCAAUUUUCCCUCCCACUUCUUGGGAGCCUUCUAGUUCCCUGGAGACCUCCUCUCAAGUGGGCAUGUCCCCAGGAGGGGUAAAAGGAUAGAGCCUCACAUAAGUUAGAAAUGGGCAGAGCUCUUGGUACUACCUGUCUCUUUUCCUUCUUCAUCCACCACUUUCCCCUCUGAGGAGGCUUGUCUAGAUGUCUGGAGCACUGGGAAUUGGGGGAAUGAGGAGGAGCCCCUCAACUCUGUCUCAGUCACAUCACUUAAUCACACCUCUCCUUCUGCCCCACCCCUCUGGCAGUGAAGGCUCACUCCCAACAGAUCUCCACCCGCUUCCGGGAAUGGCCAGAACUCGCCUCCUGCAUCUCUCUUUCCAUUUCUAUCUUCCCCUCCCCCCAAGAGCUGUAGUGGCCUUGGCCUCCUGGCAGUGCCUUCCCAGCCUGUUUCCAUAGAAACUGGGUAGGCUGUGCAGUGCAAGAAGUGGAGGGGAGACAGGAGCAGGAAGGAGGGACCAAGCCUUAGGGACAGCCCCCGAUGAAGGGACCGAGAGAAACGGGGAGCUGCCCCAUGCAAACUGAGGGUGGGACCCCGAUUUGGGGAACCGGGCGGGAUGGAGGGUGGAGUGGGGGGAAGAGGUAGCAAAAGCUUGGUAGCUGGCUUUGCUGCCUCCUGAGGAAGGGGCACAGAAUCUCCCCUUCCCUGCCACAGGUAGUGGGGGUUCCUCCCUCCCCACCCCCUUAAAAUCCUUCUUUACCAGGAACUGCCUGAUCCAGAUGAAUCUCUUCUCCGGGGCCCACUAGUCUCUAAGAAAGGGACCAUGGAAUUCCUUUCUUCCCCGAAGAGCUCCCCACUCUCCCUGACCAGAGUCUCCUUGAUCUGGAGGCUGGGCAGCCCCCGGGGACCCGGUGGCCGCCGCUGACCCCGUGGCAUGCGGCUCUCAAAGGCCCCAUUCAUCUCUGGGGGCUGAAGGCGCCAUUGUCCCCAGCGGGGGGGUGGUGUGGGGAGUGAAGGGGUCUGGACUCAGAAGGAAGGAAUGCGUCUGGAGAAGUUGCCCCCGGGGCUCCAGUCUCAAGGUCCCCACCAGAUCUCCAUCGGGACCCUUUCACGACCCCGAGCCCUUUCCCCAGGAGCUCCCAGCAACCUUCGCGCUUCUCCGGAGGGUGGGGUCUGCCGCGGCGCGGGGGCAGCCUCGCCCCACCUCACUGCUGGACUCCGGAGAGCCAUUUCUGGGACCGGGAGCUGUCCAGCGCCUCGGGUCCUGACGGACCGCUGAUUCGCCUAGGUGCCAUCGGACAAGCGGGUGCUCAGAGCCAGCUCUGGUGGCUCGGGAGCUUUCCCCCAACCAGGCUAAGACCACUAAACCACGCCUGGCCCAGAUGAGCUUGGAUGCAGCUCCGAACGUGGGGAUCCAUCGGUGCUGAGAACUGACCCAGGGAGCACCUUGACCCCUGCCCUAUCUGGGCACAAUUGAAGGGCCAAGUGCCACCAGACCACUUUCCUGGAACCCUGUCUCAGACUUGGGCAGGAAGAAGAGCCAUGAGAGCCUUCAAUGCAAUGAGAGAGAAUAACAUUAAGGAAUAGCUUUGGAAUGGGAAGACCUCUCUGAACCCUGAAGGAUGAGAAGUCUGGAAAAGACAGUGGGAAGAGUAGACCAGAAGGAGGAAAAGCCACAUAUUUAAGGUUUUGCUUCUUGCUGCAAGCAGCAGAUUCCUUGGCUUUACCUUCAGAGCUUUCGACUCAAUGCAGAAAUGGAAAAGCCGAUCCUUAAAUUCAAAUGGAAUUGCAGCGGACCCCAAAUAGCCAAAGCAAUCUUGAAAAAGAAGAACAAAGCUGGAAGACUUACACUUCCUGAUUUCAAAACGUAUUACAAAGCUACAGUAAUCAAAAUAGUGUGAUAGUAGCAUAAAGGAUAGAGAGAUAUAUAUCAACGAAAUAGAAUUGAGAGUCCAAAAAUAUACUAAUACAGCUAUGGGGUCAAUUGAUUUUUGACAAGGGUGCCAAGAGCAUUCAAUGGGCAAAAAAUAGUGUCUUCAACAAAUAGUGCUGGGACAACUGGAUAUCCACAUACAAAAAAGGAAGAAGAAGGAGAAGGAGAAGGAGAAGAAGAAGAAGAGGAAGGAAGAGGAGGAGGAGGAAGAGAAAGAAGGAGGAAGAAGAAGGAAGAAGAAGGAGAAAGAAAGAAGAACAAAGAAGAAAGUUGGACCCCUUACCUCAUACCAUAUACAAAUAUUAACUCACUAAGGAGCUUCUGGAUAGCUGAACACAUGAAGAUACUUGGAGGGAAGGUGGCAUGCCUAGAGAUGUAUGAAAGCUCUAUGCCCCUUCCCACAUGGCUUGACCUAUCCAUCUCUCCAUCUGGCUGUUCAUCUUUAAAAUACCCCUUAUGAUAAAUGGGUAAAUGCUACAUGUUCACUUGGCAUCCUAGGUCAGGCAUUUGGUCUCCACCAGAGCCCAGGAACAAGCCCAGGAGCUGUAUAUUUUAUUUUUUCAAAGUGUGAAUGAGUUAUUUGUGUAAAAAGACAUAGCUGCAAUACAAAACUCUAGGAGUCUACAUCAUGAUUCCUCUAUCAGGGAUUCCCAGAUGGUUCACCAGCAUUCCUAUCUGCAAUAGACGUUUGGAGCACUGUUGAAUCUGCUGGGUCAUAAGGCCCAAGCAGGAAAGCAGCUUAUAUCAUACCUGCAAUAGCUUCAGAAACUUUUCUUGCUCUGGUCGUGAAUUAGCUUUCUAUUGCUAUGUAACAAAUUACCACAAACUUAGUGGCCUAAAACAAAAACAAAAAACAAACAAAAAUUUUGAACUCAUUAUGUAUCAAAUACCUAAAUGUAAGAGCAAAAAGUGUAAAACCUUUAGGAGAAAACAUAAGGGUAAAUAUUCAUGACUUUGGAUUUGGCAAUGGUUUCUUUUUUUUUUUUUUUUUUUGAGAGCGGUCUUGCUUUCAUCCCCCAGGCUUGAGUGCAAUGGCUCAAUCUCGGCUCACUGCAACAUCCGCCUCCCGGGUUCAAACGAUUCUCCUGCCUCUGCCUCCCAAGUAGCUGGGAGCAAAGUGCCGGCCAUCACGCCCGGCUAAUUUUUAUAUUUUUUAGUAGGGACAGGGUUCCACCAUGUUGGUCAGGCUGGUCUCGAACUCCUGACCUUAGGUGAUCUGCCCGCCUCAGCCUCCCAAAGUGCUGGGAUUACAGGCAUGAGCCACCACGCUCGGCCUGGCAAUGGUUUCUUAAACAUGAUAUCAAAACCACAUGCAACAAAAAGUAAGUAUGGAUACACUGGACUUCAGCAAAAUUAAAAACUUUCAUGCAUCCGAGAACAUCUUCAAGAAAGUGAAAAGACACUUUUCGUUUCAUUUGUCAAUUUGCAAAUCACAUAUCCAAUAAACUUCUAGUAUCCAGAAUAUAUAAAGGACUCUUAUAAUUUGAUAACAAAAAGACAAUCCUUUUUUUUUUGAGACAAGGUCUCACUCUGUCACCCAGGCUAGAGUACAGUGGAAAGAUCACAGCUCAUUUCAGCCUCAACCUUCCUGGGGCUCAAGCGAUCCUCCCACCUGAGCCUCCUGAGUAGCUGGGACUACAGGUGCCACCAUGCCAGGCUAAUUUUUUGUAUUUUUUCAUAGAGAUGGGGUUUUGCCAUGUUGCCCCAGCUGGUCUCAAACUCUUGGGCUCAAGUGAUCCAUACUCUUUGGCCUCCAAAGUGCUGGGAUUGCAGGUGUGAGCACCCUGCCUGGCCUAGAUAACUAUUUUUUAAAUGAGCAAAGGACUUGAAUAGACAUUUCUCUAAAGAAGACAUAUAAAUGGCCAAAAAGUACAUGAAAAGAUGCUCAACAUCAUUAGUCAUUACGGAAAUGCAAAUCAAAACUACAAUGAGAUACCACUUUAUACCCACUGUGAUGGCUAUAAUUAAGGAAAAGAACAAGUAUUGGCAAGAAUGUGGGGACACUGAAACCCUUGGGCCUUCCUGAUGGGAACAUAAAAUGGUACAGCCACUGUGGAAAACAGUUGGUGGUUCCUUAAAAUGUUAAACAUAGAAUUGCCGUAUGACCCAGCAAUUUCAUUCGUAGGGGUAUACCCAAGAGACUUGAAAGUAGAUACUCAAAUACUUGUAUAUAUUCACAGUAGCAAUAUUCACAAUAGCCAAAAGAUGGAAACAACCCAAAUAUCCAUCAAUGGAUGAAUGGAUAAAGAAAAUGUGGUAUACCCACACAAUAGAAUAUUAUUUAGCAAUAAAAAUAAAUGAAGUACUGAUGUAUGCUACAACAUGGAUGAACCUUGAAAACAUUGUUAAGUGAAGGAAGCUAGACGCAAAAGAUCAUGUAGUGUAUGAUUUCAUUUCUAUGAAAUAUCUAGAAAAGGUCAAUUCAUACAGAUAGAAAGAAGGUUAGUGGUUACCAGGGGAUGGGGCGAAGGGAGAAUGGGAGUGACUGCUUAAUGAGUCAGGAGUUUCUUUGGGAGAUGAUCAAAUGUUUUGGAACUAGAUAGAGAUGAUGAUUGUACAACAUUGUGAAUGUACUAAAUGCCACUGAAGUGUAUACUUUCAAUGGCUAAUUUUUUGUUAUGUAGAUUUUACCUAAAUUUUUUUAAAAAGCAAGUUCCUUAGGCUCCACAUUCAGAGCUUUGGAUUCAGCAUAUCUGGCAUGAUGCCCAGGACCUGAAUUUUCAACAAGUACCUCGGAUACCCCUGAUGCAAGUGGUCCAGGGACCAUAUUUUGAGAAACAUUGCUAAACAAUGUUAAGCUUCGAACUGAUUCUCUUCCAUUCUCUUUUACUUUUUGUAAUAUACAUCAUAAUUGUAUGGCUUAUCCUGCACCUCUUUUCCCAUAGACUGUAAACUCCAUGAGGGCAGGGCGCAUAUCUUCCUUCUUCAUCAUCAUGAUGCUAGCAUUUGGAAAAAGCGCCUUGAGGCUGGGCAUGGUGGCUCAUGCCUGUAAUCUCAGCACUUUGGGAGGCUGAGGCCUGGGCAACAUGUCAAAAACCCAUCUCUACAAAAAAAUAAAAAAUUAGCUGGGUGUGGUGGCGCAUGUGCCUGUAGUCCCUGCUACCUGGGAGGCUGAUGCAGGAGGAUAGAUUGAGUCUGGGAGGUUGAGGCUGCAGUGAGCUGGGAUUGUGCCACUGCACUCCAGCCUGGAUGAGAGCGAGACUCUGUCUCAAAAAAUAAAAUAAAAUAAAGAAAAGAAAAAGCACCUUGACGUUACACGUGCCCAGUAGAUA